GGCCUUUUGGGUAUAAUUUAAGGUUUAGCCUGCCCCCUGAAUAUUAAAGGGCCGCGGUACCCUGACCGUGCUAAGGUAGCAUAAUCAUUAGUUUUUUAAUUGGAAGCUGGAAUGAAUGGUUGGAUGAGAAAAUAACUGUCUCUAUUUAAUUUUUAUUGAAUUUUAUAUUUAAGUAAGAAAGCUUAAAUUUUUUUAAAAGACGAGAAGACCCUAUAGAGUUUUAUAAAAAAAAAGAAGUUAUUUUUUAUAGUAUUUUAAAUUUAAUUUUUUUUAUUUUAUUUAGUUGGGGCGAUUGAAAAAUUUAAGAAACUUUUUUUAAGAAAUUACAUUGAUAUAUGAAUAUAUGAUCCAUAAAGUAUGAUUAUAAGAUUAAAUUACCUUAGGGAUAACAGCGUAAUUUUUUUUGAGAGUUCAAAUCGAAAAAAAAGUUUGCGACCUCGAUGUUGGAUUAAAAUUAAUUUUUGGUGUAAAGGCUAAAAAAUUAGGUCUGUUCGACCUUUAAAAUUUUACAUGA
rnacentral:rRNA from 1 species